GCCAUCUUUUUCCUAAACAAUUGAUAUUUAUAUUCUUUGACAGUGCUUAUCAAAUUAAAAUUUAUAUCUCACAACUACUGGCCGCACUUGUAACAGGUAACAGGACACUUCAACCUAAUACAGGUUAGGCUCAAAUCAUGGGCCCAUCUUUAUACGGGGUAGGGCCUCAAAUUAAGUGUUUGGGAAAUUUUUAGUUUUAACCUCUGAUGUUGAUUUGUAGAACUAGUUAGAUUUAGCAUGGAUUUAUGUUUAGAUUCGUAGAACUGGUUAGAAAAUGCUUUCCUAUUAAGGGUUUAGGGCAUGUUCAGGUGCCACUUAAAAAUGAGUUCAUCUCAUUUAGUUAAUAUUAGUAGUGCAUCAGAGAUCAUAAAUGGUUGGUUAUCAUGAUGACUUUUAAUUCUACGUAAAAAAAUUUAAAAAAGAAGAAUAUCCUUAAUACAUAAUUAGGAAUAACCAAAAUGAGAUGAAUUCAAAUUUUUUUUUUAAUGGCAUCCAAACGGGCCCUCAUGGGGCAUGCCCUUGGGGGUUUAUUCUACGUUUAUAAAUGCAAAUUCUUCAUGUGCAUUAAUUAGUUUUGGAUGUCUUUGAUUUUGGAUCUUCAGGUUUUGAUCUGUAGAGGUUUGUUGAUCCCACGUGCUUAUGUGUGUAGCCUUGCCCCUCUGCGUGUCUGAACAUGUGUAUGGUGCACAAGUUGUGAACAUCCAAGCUGUCCAUCAUUCCAACCCCUAUAGGGAGCUUUAUCGUGUUCCCAUGAUCUCUGUAUAGGUGGGGACUGUUUUGAAAUGUUACUUACAACUGACUUUGGCUGUUCUACAAGCUAUCCCAUAUGUGAAGGUUAGAUCUGCUUGGUUUUCUUCUCGAAAUGUCUUCCAUCUGUUUCAUCUCACGAAGGUUGUUGUAAUGCUGAUUUUAAGUCUUUGCAAGGGUUGCUCCUGAACAGGAGGAGCUUAUCAUGACCACUUUUAAGACCGUGGGAAGGAUGGCAUUGAUGUGUGGAGACGGGCCGAUGAUGUUGGGGCUCUGAAGCAGUGGAUCUGAGAUUGGGAGAUUUGUUGCUAUGCUUCGGAAUUCUUCUUCUAUUCUCAGGUCAUGUGCUGCUUUUGCUUUGUUACAGGGACUGAUCUCGUGUUGAAGAGGGUGCAUCCAAUAGGCAGAUCGUCAACCAUAGUUCUACAACUCGUCGAGUCUACUCAAAACAAGGCCAUAAACUCAACAAAGUGACUCGACUAAAGUCACGAGACUCAUCCUAAUCAUUUUUUUCAUCCAAUAGGUAUUUUCUCUUGCUUUAGACGUUCUAUAGCAUAUUGUGUUUGUAAUUAUCAUUUUCCUUGCUAUAGUGGAUGGCAGAACAAGAUUCAUCUCAACUUUUUGAAUAGAAUUCUUAUUAAACAAUCGUGUGAAUUAUUUUUUGAAUGACCAUCAAGUGUAAGAUUCAAAAUAAAAAAUAAAAAAUUCGGGAUAAUUUUUUU